rnacentral:lncRNA from 1 species
CAAAAUCAAAUAACAAAGGUAUACCCAUUCUGAUUCAAUCCUUGCUUGCUCUGAUUCAAUCCCUAACUACUCAAGAUUCCUAUUUGUCUAUAAAAUUCCACUAUAAAUUGGAAUACAAAAAUUAAGAAAAGGACAGCAAAAUUUUCAACAAUAAUUCCUCAUAGUAAACCUCUCUCUCACGUAUAGUUUUUUUCAAAAAA